GGUUUCUCUGUGUAGCCCUGGCUGUCCUGGAACUCACUCUGUAGACCAGGCUGGCCUUGAACUCAUAGAGAUCCACCUGCCUCUGCCUCCCAAGUGCUAGGACUAAAGGCGUGCACCACUACUGCCUG
rnacentral:miRNA from 14 species